rnacentral:rRNA from 1 species
AUUGAACGCUGGCGGCAGGCUUAACACAUGCAAGUCGAGCGAGUGGCGGACGGGUGAGUAAUGUCUGGGAAACUGCCUGAUGGAGGGGGAUAACUACUGGAAACGGUAGCUAAUACCGCAUACCAUCGGAUGUGCCCAGAUGGGAUUAGCUAGUAGGUGGGGUAAAGGCUCACCUAGGCGACGAUCCCUAGCUGGUCUGAGAGGAUGACCAGCCACACUGGAACUGUGACACGGUCCAGACUCCUACGGGAGGCAGCAGGGGGGAAUAUUGCACAAGGGGCGCAAGCCUGAUGCAGCCAUGCCGCGUGUGUGAAGAAGGCCUUCGGGUUGUAAAGCACUUUCAGCGAGGAGGCGUUACGCGCAGAAGAAGCACCGGCUAACUCCGUGCCAGCAGCCGCGGUAAUAC